rnacentral:rRNA from 1 species
AUUGAACGCUGGCGGCAUGCCUAACACAUGCAAGUCGAACGAGAACGGAAUAUAGCUUGCUAUAUUUGUCAGCUAAGUGGCGCACGGGUGAGUAAUGUAUAGAUAACCUGCCCUUAAGAAAGGAAUAACAGUUGGAAACGACUGCUAAUGCCCUAUAUGCCUUUAAUACAUAAGUAUGCAAGGGAAACGCUUUAGUGCCUAAGGACGGGUCUGUAUGGUAUCAGCUUGUUGGUGAGGUAAUGGCUCACCAAGGCUAUGACGCCUAACUGGUUUGAGAGGAUGAUCAGUCACACUGGAACUGAGACACGGUCCAGACUCCUACGGGAGGCAGCAGUGGGGAAUAUUGCACAAUGGACGAAAGUCUGAUGCAGCAACGCCGCGUGGAGGAUGACACAUUUCGGUGCGUAAACUCCUUUUAUAUAGGAAGAUAAUGACGGUACUAUAUGAAUAAGCACCGGCUAACUCCGUGCCAGCAGCCGCGGUAACAC